rnacentral:rRNA from 1 species
GGCUCAGGAUGAACGCUGGCGGCGUGCNUAAUACAUGCAAGUCGAGCGAACGGACAGGAGUGCUUGCACUCCUUGAAGUUAGCGGCGGACGGGUGAGUAACACGUGGGUAACCUACCUAUAAGACUGGGAUAACUUCGGGAAACCGGAGCUAAUACCGGAUAAUAUAUACCUCCGCAUGGAGGAAUAGUCAAAGACGGUUCUGCUGUCACUUAUAGAUGGACCCGCGGUGUAUUAGCUAGUUGGUGAGGUAACGGCUCACCAAGGCAACGAUACAUAGCCGACCUGAGAGGGUGAUCGGCCACACUGGGACUGAGACACGGCCCAGACUCCUACGGGAGGCAGCAGUAGGGAAUCUUCCGCAAUGGACGAAAGUCUGACGGAGCAACGCCGCGUGAGUGAAGAAGGUUUUCGGAUCGUAAAACUCUGUUGUAAGGGAAGAACAAGUACGUUAGUNANUGAACGUACCUGACGUAC